AUACUUACCUGGCAGGGGAGAUUCCAUGAUCAUGAAGGUGGUUUUCCCAGGGCGAGGCUUAUCCAGUCCAGAUGUGCUGACCCCAGCGAUUUCCCCAAAUGCGNNN
rnacentral:snRNA from 1 species